rnacentral:rRNA from 2 species
CUAGCAUAUCAAUAAGCGGAGGAAAAGAAACCAACAGGGAUUGCCUUAGUAACGGCGAGUGAAGCGGCAAAAGCUCAGAUUUGAAAUCUGGUGUCAAAUUGAUACCCGAGUUGUAAUCUGUAGAGGAGUUUUUCGGAGUAUGGCUUUGGUUAAAGUUCCUUGGAAAAGGGCAUCAUAGAGGGUGAGAAUCCUGUUUAUGACCAGUGUCUGUCUCCAUUAUGAAUCUCCUUCAAUGAGUCGAGUUGUUUGGGAAUGCAGCUCUAAAUGGGUGGUAAAUUCCAUCUAAAGCUAAAUAUUGGCAAGAGACCGAUAGCGCACAAGUAGAGUGAUCGAAAGAUGAAAAGAACUCUGAACAGAGAGUUAAAGAGUACGUGAAAUUGUUGAAAGGGAAGCACUUGUGACCAGACAAAUUUACAGUUAAUCAGCCAUCAAUAUUUGGUGGUGCACUUAAUUGUAGGUGGGUCAGCAUCAGUUAUAGUAGUGGAACAAAGAUCAAAGGAAUGUAGCUCCUCUUUGAGGAGUGUUAUAGCCUUUGGUUCAAUACCGCUGGCCAUGACUGAGGAUAGCACUUCCAGUAAGGAUGCUGACAUAAUGGUCAUAAGUGACCCGUCUUGAAACACGGACCAAGGAGUCUAACAUCUAUGCGAGUGUUUGGGUUCAAGCCCUUAUGCAAAAUGAAAGUGAAUGGAGGUGGAAACCAUUAGGUGCACCAUCGACCGAUCCUGAAGUUUUCUGAUGGAUUUGAGUAGGAGCAUAGCUGUUGGGACCCGAAAGAUGGUGAACUAUGCCUGAAUAGGGUGAAGCCAGAGGAAACUCUGGUGGAGGCUCGCAGCGGUUCUGACGUGCAAAUCGAUCGUCAAAUUUGGGUAUAGGGGCGAAAGACUAAUCGAACCAUCUAGUAGCUGGUUCCGGCCGAGCCCUCCCUCACAGAAAA